rnacentral:tRNA from 1 species
CAUCAAAUGACUGAAAAGCAAGUAAUGGUCUCUUAAACCAAUUCAUAGUAAAUAUUAGCAAUUACUUUUGAUGA